UGACGUCAAGUCCUCAUGGCCCUUAUGGGUAGGGCUUCACACGUCAUACAAUGGUCGGUACAGAGGGUUGCCAACCCGCGAGGGGGGAGCUAAUCCCACAAAGCCGAUCGUAGUCCGGAUCGCAGUCUGCAACUCGACUGCGUGAAGUCGGAAUCGCUAGUAAUCGUGGAUCAGCAUGUCACGGUAAAUACGUUCCCGGGUCUU
rnacentral:rRNA from 1 species